rnacentral:rRNA from 1 species
UGGGGAAUCUUGGACAAUGGGCGCAAGCCUGAUCCAGCCAUGCCGCGUGAGUGAAGAAGGCCUUAGGGUUGUAAAGCUCUUUUACCAGGGACGAUAAUGACGGUACCUGGAGAAUAAGCCCCGGCAAACUUCGUGCCAGCAGCCGCGGUAAUACGAAGGGGGCUAGCGUUGUUCGGAAUUACUGGGCGUAAAGCGCACGUAGGCGGGUCGUUAAGUCAGGGGUGAAAUCCCGGAGCUCAACUCCGGAACUGCCUUUGAUACUGGCGAGCUUGAGGCCGGAAGAGGUUAGAGGAAUUCCCAGUGUAGAGGUGAAAUUCGUAGAUAUUGGGAAGAACACCAGUGGCGAAGGCGGCUGACUGGUCCGGAUCUGACGCUGAGGUGCGAAAGCGUGGGGAGCAAACAGG